rnacentral:rRNA from 1 species
GACGAACGCUGGCGGCGUGCUUAACACAUGCAAGUCGAACGGAAAGGCCCUGCUUUUGUGGGGUGCUCGAGUGGCGAACGGGUGAGUAACACGUGAGUAACCUGCCCUUGACUUUGGGAUAACUUCAGGAAACUGGGGCUAAUACCGGAUAGGAGCUCCUGCUGCAUGGUGGGGGUUGGAAAGUUUCGGCGGUUGGGGAUGGACUCGCGGCUUAUCAGUUUGUUGGUGGGGUAGUGGCUUACCAAGGCUUUGACGGGUAGCCGGCCUGAGAGGGUGACCGGCAAGAUUGGGAAGGAGAUACGGCCCAAACUCCUACGGGAGGCAGAAGUGGGGAAGAUGGAAAAGUGGGCGGAAGCCUGAAGCAGCAACGCUGAGUGCGGGAUGACGCCCUUCGGGUUGAAAACCGCUUUCGCCUGUGACGAAGCGUGAGUGGCGGUAAUGGGUAAGGAGGCAACGGCUAACUACGUG